rnacentral:rRNA from 1 species
AGAGUUUGAUCAUGGCUCAGAUUGAACGCUGGCGGCAGGCCUAACACAUGCAAGUCGAACGGUAACAGGAAGAAGCUUGCUUCUUUGCUGACGAGUGGCGGACGGGUGAGUAAUGUCUGGGAAACUGCCUGAUGGAGGGGGAUAACUACUGGAAACGGUAGCUAAUACCGCAUAACGUCGCAAGACCAAAGAGGGGGACCUUCGGGCCUCUUGCCAUCGGAUGUGCCCAGAUGGGAUUAGCUAGUAGGUGGGGUAACGGCUCACCUAGGCGACGAUCCCUAGCUGGUCUGAGAGGAUGACCAGCCACACUGGAACUGAGACACGGUCCAGACUCCUACGGGAGGCAGCAGUGGGGAAUAUUGCACAAUGGGCGCAAGCCUGAUGCAGCCAUGCCGCGUGUAUGAAGAAGGCCUUCGGGUUGUAAAGUACUUUCAGCGGGGAGGAAGGGAGUAAAGUUAAUACCUUUGCUCAUUGACGUUACCCGCAGAAGAAGCACCGGCUAACUCCGUGCCAGCAGCCGCGGUAAUACGGAGGGUGCAAGCGUUAAUCGGAAUUACUGGGCGUAAAGCGCACGCUAGGCGGUUUGUUAAGUCAGAUGUGAAAUCCCCGGGCUCAACCUGGGAACUGCAUCUGAUACUGGCAAGCUUGAGUCUCGUAGAGGGGGGUAGAAUUCCAGGUGUAGCGGUGAAAUGCGUAGAGAUCUGGAGGAAUACCGGUGGCGAAGGCGGCCCCCUGGACGAAGACUGACGCUCAGGUGCGAAAGCGUGGGGAGCAAACAGGAUUAGAUACCCUGGUAGUCCACGCCGUAAACGAUGUCGACUUGGAGGUUGUGCCCUUGAGGCGUGGCUUCCGGAGCUAACGCGUUAAGUCGACCGCCUGGGGAGUACGGCCGCAAGGUUAAAACUCAAAUGAAUUGACGGGGGCCCGCACAAGCGGUGGAGCAUGUGGUUUAAUUCGAUGCAACGCGAAGAACCUUACCUGGUCUUGACAUCCACAGAACUUUCCAGAGAUGGAUUGGUGCCUUCGGGAACUGUGAGACAGGUGCUGCAUGGCUGUCGUCAGCUCGUGUUGUGAAAUGUUGGGUUAAGUCCCGCAACGAGCGCAACCCUUAUCCUUUGUUGCCAGCGGUCCGGCCGGGAACUCAAAGGAGACUGCCAGUGAUAAACUGGAGGAAGGUGGGGAUGACGUCAAGUCGUCAUGGCCCUUACGACCAGGGCUACACACGUGCUACAAUGGCGCAUACAAAGAGAAGCGACCUCGCGAGAGCAAGCGGACCUCAUAAAGUGCGUCGUAGUCCGGAUUGGAGUCUGCAACUCGACUCCAUGAAGUCGGAAUCGCUAGUAAUCGUGGAUCAGAAUGCCACGGUGAAUACGUUCCCGGGCCUUGUACACACCGCCCGUCACACCAUGGGAGUGAGUUGCAAAAGAAGUAGGUAGCUUAACCUUCGGGAGGGCGCUUACCACUUUGUGAUUCAUGACUGGGGUGAAGUCGUAACAAGGUAACCGUAGGGGAACCUGCGGUUGGAUCACCU